rnacentral:rRNA from 1 species
GACGAACGCUGGCGGCGUGCUUAACACAUGCAAGUCGAACGGAAAGGCCCUGCUUUUGUGGGGUGCUCGAGUGGCGAACGGGUGAGUAACACGUGAGUAACCUGCCCUUGACUUUGGGAUAACUUCAGGAAACUGGGGCUAAUACCGGAUAGGAGCUCCUGCUGCAUGGUGGGGGUUGGAAAGUUUCGGCGGUUGGGGAUGGACUCGCGGCUUAUCAGCUUGUUGGUGGGGUAGUGGCUUACCAAGGCUUUGACGGGUAGCCGGCCUGAGAGGGUGACCGGCCACAUUGGGCCUGGGAUACGGCCCAGACUCCUCCGGGGGGCAGCAGUGGGGAAUAUUGCACAAUGGGCGGAGGCCUGAUGCAGCAACGCCGCGUGGGGGAUGACGGCCUUCGGGUUGUAAACCGCUUUCGCUUGUGACGAAGCGUGAGUGACGGUAAUGGGUAAAGAAGCACCGGCUACCUACGU